AACGAACGCUGGCGGUAUGCUUAACACAUGCAAGUCGAACGAACAAAAUUGGGGCUUGCUCCAAUUUUAGUGAGUGGCAAACGGGUGAGUAACACGUGGGAAUCUACCUAUCAGUACGGAAUAACAUUUGGAAACAGAUGCUAAUACCGUAUAUUCUCCAAGGAGGAAAGAUUUAUCGCUGAUAGAUGAGCCCGCGUAAGAUUAGGUAGUUGGUAGGGUAAUGGCCUACCAAGCCGACGAUCUUUAGCUGGUCUGAGAGGAUGAUCAGCCACACUGGGACUGAGACACGGCCCAGACUCCUACGGGAGGCAGCAGUGGGGAAUAUUGGACAAUGGGCGAAAGCCUGAUCCAGCAAUACCGCGUGAGUGAAGAAGGCCUU
rnacentral:rRNA from 1 species